GACGAACGCUGGCGGCGUGCUUAACACAUGCAAGUCGAACGGUAAGGCUCCAGCUUGCUGGGGUACACGAGUGGCGAACGGGUGAGUAACACGUGGGUGACCUGCCCUGCACUUCGGGAUAAGCCUGGGAAACUGGGUCUAAUACCGGAUAGGACCGCACCGUGAGGGUGUGGUGGAAAGUUUUUUCGGUGUGGGAUGGGCCCGCGGCCUAUCAGCUUGUUGGUGGGGUAAUGGCCUACCAAGGCGGCGACGGGUAGCCGGCCUGAGAGGGUGGACGGCCACAUUGGGACUGAGACACGGCCCAGACUCCUACGGGAGGCAGCAGUGGGGAAUAUUGCACAAUGGGCGGAAGCCUGAUGCAGCGACGCCGCGUGGGGGAUGACGGCCUUCGGGUUGUAAACUCCUUUCACCAUCGACGAAGGGUUUCUGACGGUAGAUGGAGAAGAAGUACCGGCUAACUACGUGCCAGCAGCCGCGGUAAUACGUAGGGUGCGAGCGUUGUCCGGAAUUACUGGGCGUAAAGAGCUCGUAGGUGGUUUGUCGCGUCGUCUGUGAAAUUCCGGGGCUUAACUCCGGGCGUGCAGGCGAUACGGGCAUAACUUGAGUACUGUAGGGGAGACUGGAAUUCCUGGUGUAGCGGUGAAAUGCGCAGAUAUCAGGAGGAACACCGGUGGCGAAGGCGGGUCUCUGGGCAGUAACUGACGCUGAGGAGCGAAAGCAUGGGGAGCGAACAGGAUUAGAUACCCUGGUAGUCCAUGCCGUAAACGGUGGGCGCUAGGUGUGGGUUUCCUUCCACGGGAUCCGUGCCGUAGCUAACGCAUUAAGCGCCCCGCCUGGGGAGUACGGCCGCAAGGCUAAAA
rnacentral:rRNA from 1 species